rfam:Lupinus angustifolius cultivar Tanjil chromosome LG02, whole genome shotgun sequence.
AGUUGCGAUCAUACCAGCACUAAUGCACCAGAUCCCAUCAGAACUCCGCAGUCAAGCGUGCUUGGGCUAGAGUAGUACGAGGAUGGGCGACAUCUUGGGAAGUCCUCGUGUUGCACCUC